GUGUCAGCAGCCGCGGUAAUACGUAGGUGGCAAGCGUUAUCCGGAAUUAUUGGGCGUAAAGGGUGCGUAGGCGGUUUCUUAAGUCUUAUGUGAAAUCUCAGAGCUUAACUCUGGGCUGCAUAAGAAACUAUUAGACUAGAGUGCAGGAGAGGGCAACGGAAUUCCAUGUGUAGCGGUAAAAUGCGUAGAUAUAUGGAGGAACACCGGUGGCGAAGGCGGUUGCCUGGCCUGUUACUGACGCUGAAGCACGAAAGCGUGGGGAGCAAAUAGGAUUAGAAACCCGUGUAGUCC
rnacentral:rRNA from 1 species